rnacentral:rRNA from 1 species
CAGCGCCACGAGUGGUAACCACGUUUAUUGGGCCUAAAGCGUCCGUAGCCGGCUUUGUAAGUCUUUUGUGAAAUUGUUUGGCUCAACCAAACAGCGUGCAAGAGAUACUGCAAGGCUUGAGACCGGGAGGAGUCAGAAGUAUUCCAGGGGGAGCGGUAAAAUGUUAUAAUCCCUGGAGGACUACCUGUGGCGAAGGCGUCUGACCAGAACGGAUCUGACGGUGAGGGACGAAAGCCAGGGGAGCGAACCGGAUUAGAUACCCGAGUAGUCC